rnacentral:tRNA from 2 species
UCCGAGGUAGCUUAGUAGCAAAGCACCGGGCUCGUAACCCGGGGAGCGCGGGUGCAAGUCCCGCCCUCGGACCCA